AUACGUAGGGUACGAGCGUUGUCCGGAAUUACUGGGCGUAAAGAGCUCGUAGGUGGUUUGUCGCGUCGUCUGUGAAAUUCCGGGGCUUAACUCCGGGCGUGCAGGCGAUACGGGCAUAACUUGAGUACUGUAGGGGAGACUGGAAUUCCUGGUGUAGCGGUGAAAUGCGCAGAUAUCAGGAGGAACCCCGGGGGCGAAGGGGGGUCUCUGGGAAGUAACUGACGCUGAGGAGCGAAAGCAUGGGUAGCGAACAGGAUUAGAUACCCUGGUAGUCCAUGCCGUAAACGGUGGGCGCUAGGUGUAGGGGUCUUCCACGACUUCUGUGCCGUAGCUAACGCAUUAAGCGCCCCGCCUAGGGAGUACGGCCGCAAGGCUAAAACUCAAAGGAAUUGACGGGG
rnacentral:rRNA from 1 species